rnacentral:misc_RNA from 1 species
GAAAUGCGAUAAGUAAUGUGAAUUGCAGAAUUCCGUGAAUCAUCGAAUCUUUGAACGCACAUUGCGCCCUCUGGUAUUCCGGGGGGCAUGCCUGUCCGAGCGUCAUUGCACACCCUCAAGCGCGGCUUGUGUGUUGGGCCCCCGCGUCCUUGCCAUUUAAAGGACGGGCCCGAAAGGCAGUGGCGGCGUCGCGGUUAUCCGAUCAGCCAGAGCGUAUGGGGACUCUGUCACACGCUCGCGGCGCGGACCGACGCUGGCCUGGUCACUAAAUUCUUCCACGGUUGACCUCGGAUCAGGUAGGGAUACCCGCUGAACUUAAGC